CAAUAGCGUAUAUUAAAGUUGUUGCGGUUAAAAAGCUCGUAGUUGGUUGCCGAGGACGACCGGUCCGCCCUCUGGGUGAGUAUCUGGUUCGGCCUGGGCAUCUUCUUGGAGAACGUAUCUGCACUUGACUGUGUGGUGCGGUAUCCAGGACUUUUACUUUGAGGAAAUUUAGAUGUGAUUUCAAGCAGGCACACGCCUUGAAUACAUUAGCAUGGAAUAAUAAGAUAGGACCUUGGUUCUAUUUUGUUGGUUUCUAGAGCUGAGGUAAUGAUUAAUAGGGAUAGUUGGGGGCAUUCGUAUUUAACUGUCAGAGGUGAAAUUCUUGGAUUUGUUAAAGACGGACUACUGCGGAAGCAUUUGCCAAGGAUGUUUUCAUUGAUCAAGAACGAAAGUUAGGGGAUCGAAGACGAUUAGAUACC
rnacentral:rRNA from 1 species